ensembl:lncRNA
GGGCUUCAUACAAAAGUGUAAUGGGUUGGAUGUUGUCCAGAGGUCAUAGUUCACUGACCUCCAUCCUAGAUGAUGUCACUGCUCUGCAGGAAUGUUUGGCUCAUGCCUUAAUCACAGGGGUAUAAGCGUCUAACCCAGAACCUAAGCCUGCAAGUUGUUGUUUUUGUUCAGUCUCUAAAUUGUUCCGACUCUUUUGUGACCCCAUGGACUGUAGCCUGCCAGGCUGCUCUGUCCAUGUGAUUUCCCAAGAAGAAGACUGGAGUGGGUUGCCAUUUCCUUCUCCAGGGCAUCUUCCUGACCCAGGGAUAGAACCCAAGUCUCCUGCCUGGCAGAUGAUUCUUUACCACUGAGUCACCAGAUGGAAACUCAGAAAGGUGAGGGACUUGUCCAAGGACACACAGCUGUAACUCAGGCAAACCUGGAGGUGGAACUCAGGGGUCCAGAGUCCCCUUCCCCAACACCACCCUGCCUUGUUCAGAAGGAAAAGACCGCACAAAGCAAAGGGAACAAAUACAUACAUUUUAAUUGGAUAAUAAAGUAAAAAGAAAGAAGAGGAAGACCCAAAGGAGAUACAUGCCUGGACAAUCAUAGACUGUGACAUUUAAGAGCUCUGGGACAAAUCUCUAUUUUAAAAUUGUAUAAUAUCUUUAAAUUAAAAUAAAAUAUAUUUAGUUAAUUAAAACAGACAUUUAAAUAUAGUUUUAAAUAUCCCCUUUCCUACUCUGACACAAAACAGCAUGUAAGCUAAUAUAUUCUUUAUGUCAAUCUGGUGGUACUAUCUAAACCCUGUUAUUCAGACUCUAAGAGCUGAAGGAUGCUCACUGAGCCCACUAUACAGAUGAGAAAAGUAAGGUACAGCGAGAGGAAAUGACCUGCCCAAGGAAACUCAAGCAGCUCCAGGCAGAGGUGACACGGGCUCUAACAUCGCCCCCUAUCCAGUCCUGUGGAACUCUGAGGGCCAAAUGCACUUCCCCAGCUUCUUACGGACACAGAUGUUCAGUUUCCUCUGGCACUCCUUAGCAUCUCACGUGAUUCUGUCCAAAGGUCUGGCGUAAUCUCGGAGGCAGGUGGCUGAUUCUCUUGAAAUGUAUUGUAGCUACCAAGAGACAGGAGUGAACAUGGUUAGUCCGUCAAUGUGUACAGGAGAAGGGACCCUCAACAGCAAUGAGCAUGAAAGCAGAUAAUGAGUGUAUUCUCUUGGUCCAAAUAAAAGGUAGUAUAUCCACACAAAUGUAAUAAAACUACAGAGCAAGUGCCAAGAAUAAGGUAGCUGACAUGGACAGCACUCCUUGAUACAUGGCUGCAUAGGAGAAAGCAAGCUGAGAAAAAAAUCUAUUUAUUAAAAACAGGACUCUGUGUGUGUGUGUGUGUGUGUGCAUGCGUGUGUAAAUGCACUGGAAAGCUCUGCAAGGAUGUGUGCCAAACUGAUAACCUAAGCAGAAAGGACGCAGAAACAAGAAUUGGGGGCUGUGAUCAAGAAAAAACAUUAGCCUUAUCUGGACAGCCUUUUUUCCCCAAGCUAAAAAACAUUCAGUUACUAUUUAUGUAAUAAGUGAUUGAUUGGGGGAAAAAAAGAGAGAGAGAGAAAAAUGGAAAUAGAUUAGUAUUCAUUCAUCUAUCAUCUGUUCGGGCUUCCCCAGUGGCUCAGCAGUAAAGAAUCUGCCUGCCAGUGUAGAAGCUGCAGGAAACCUGGGUUCCAUCCGUGGAUUAGUAAGAUCCCCUGGAGGAGGGCAUGGCAACCCACUCCAGUAUUCUUGCCUGGAGAAUGCCAUGGACAGGGGAUCCUGGCAGACUACAGUCCACAGGGUCAAAGAGUUGGACGCAACUGAAGGGAAUCAGCACAUCAUCUGUUCACUCAGUUCUCUCAACGGCAACUUUGUGCCAGGAACAGAACAAAAUGAAAAACACAGCCCCUACCCCCGAGGCGCUUCUACUGUAACGGGUAAAGGGGGAGGUUUGCCUGUGUGGCAUACAUGUUCAGGAAUGUUCUAUGUGCUCUGGUGAAAGAAGGAAAGAGAGCAGAGUGGGAAAAUAAAGUGAUUUCCAUGUUUCAAGGCAGAUCCAGCGGCUGAAGCGAAGUCCUCAAGUGAAUUUUGCCACGACCUGCCAUCUUAAAGCUAAACAAUCAGGACAACACGUUGCAAAUGGACAAAGUUUUGGUAAUUUUAAAGGAAUCUCAGCUGUCUUUUUCACUUUUUGGCCACACCCCAUGGGAUGUGGGAUCUUAGUCCCUAACCAGGGACCGAACCUUCAUCCGCUGCACUGGAAGGCAGAGUCCUAAUCACUGGAUCACUGGGGAAGUCCCUCAACUGAAUUCACAAAGGAAUAUGACAGCACCAAGGAGAGUUUGCAGUUACCCCCUAAUUUAACCUUCAUGGAGGAAGAUGGCUUGGAAGCCUUUUACAGGCACUGAGUCUUUGGCUGUCUUUAUCAGUACAUAUGGUUUACUCUGCUCGGGUAGAGCAUUGCUUCGGUCUCCCAUUCGCCAGAAUUGCUGUUUUGAUUUGAAACUCCAAAAAUAACUCAUGAGAAGCCUGCUGUGUGAGAGAAAGAUGGUGGCACAUAGCUCCAGGGAGGAAAAGAGAAAGCGUUUGAUCUGAAUCACCUAAGAGCUGAAAUUGAGUGCAAAUAUCUCCCGUAGCAACUGCUGUAUAAUUAGUCACCCUUAUCCUUUCAAAACCAAGGUGGUUGAACAAGGAAGUUUAAUUGGAAAGAAAAUUUCUGGACCAACUAUUCUCUCCAAACUGCAUUAAAUGAGGAUAGUUCAGCAGUGACCAUGGGCUUCCCAAGUGGUUCAGAUGAUAAAGAAUCCAUCUGCCAAUGCAGGAGACAGGGGUUCAAUUGCUGGGUCGGGAAGAUCCCCUGGAGAAGGAAAUGGCAAUUCACUCCAGUAUUCUUGCCUGGAGAAUCCCAUGGACUGAGCUUUGUGGGCUAUACUCCAUGGGGUCACAAAGAGUCAGACACAACUGAGUGACUAAGCAGGCAUGCACAGCAAGGACCACAUGACCAGUAAAAGCUAUUGGGUGUUUUGGAAGAGAGGAUGAGAGGGAAGGUGUCCUCUCCAAUGUGAGUUAAAUGUGGUAAUAUUCUAGGUUCCUUUUCCAGUUUCAUGUGUCUUCUAGCCACCAGGCAAAAGGACUCACUUCUCUCUGGGUCAGUGUUACUGUGGGGACCACCCACCACAUGAAAUGUCUGCUAGUCUCCUGGAAAGAAGCAGCCAGAAUCAAAAUCUCGGAGAUAAAGAAGGGGAGAGAAAAGAAACUGACACUCACCAUCCGAACCUGUUCAUUAAGUGCAGAGUGUCCCAUUCUAGGAGGACCACAUUCAUCUAUGGGCUCAUGGGGGGCUGCAAUGACUGGGAACGACCUUCACCCUUGAACUUUUGUCUUUGUCACUUACUAGCUGUGUGACCUCUGCCAAGUUGUUUAACAUCUCUGAGGAGCAGUUUUCUCAUCUAAAAAGUUAAAAAAAGAAAAAGAAAGCAAAAAAGGAUUAUGCUGGUGCACCUCACUGGAUGGUGAGGAAGACAGACUGUUGUCAAUGUACAUUAAACUGCUGACGGGUGAUGGAGCUGGAAUCCGUGUGUAAGUGACCUAGCGCUCCAUAGAUGGGGAGUGUGUGUCGAGGAGAAAGGCGAGAAGGAGCAUCGGGUGUUUCCUUGCUACUCAGAAUGGGUCAGCCGUGGUCCAGGAACAUCACCAUCACUUGGGAGUUCAUCAUUGGUGCAGAAUAUCAGCUCCACUUGGCUUAAGUGACACAGCAUCUGCAUUUAACAAGGGCUCCUAGAAGUUUAUGCAUGGCUCACAUUCGAGAAACAAUAGCCCCAGCCAUCUCUCAGGUGUGUGAUUCUGCACUCGGUGCCCUGAGUCAAGACAAAGUGUUCUUUAAGGGGGAGAAGUGGGCUCCCCAGAGGACCACCUGUGGUGGGAACCACUUCUGGAUCCUGUCCUGGAUUGCCGUCCAGUCUUCCUGCUUCCUGUCAGCAGGGGGGAAAUCGGGGCAGAUCCCAGGCCCUCCUGAAACCAGGGCAUUCUCCAUCAGCCUGGCUGGGCCACUCCGGGGUCCAGAGCCAUGUCAUCACAAAUGUCCCUGAGUCAUCACACAUGCCUGGAAAUAGACCUUGAGCAUGGAAAAGAAGAUGAAAACAGCUGGUAACAAGCAAAUGGGAGUGGAGGCCUUGGGAGGGUGGAAUGAACCACAGAUCACAGGGCCUCUGCUAUAAGACACGGCCACAUCCAGUCAAGAAAGAAACACUAUACAUACUCGGAUCGUGCUUGUAUGUGCACAAACCAUCUCCAGAAUGACAAACGGGAAUCUUCUGAGAGUGACUGCCUUCCGGGAGGAAGAUUUGUUACCUGGAGAAGUGGACCCUGCGGUGGACACUUUACUUUUACUGCAUGUCUUUCUGGACCAUCUGAAUUUUCAUUGGUGUGAAUGUAUUCCAAGGAGGGGAGGGAAGGGAAGAGAGAAGGGAAAAAAAGGAAAGGAAAGGGAGGAAGGGACAUUCAAUUUAAAAGAAAAUAACUGAAAAUAAUAGAUAACUGAGUCACUUGUUGUGUAGGGUUAAGUUUAAAAGUCCUCUCAGGUUGGUUUUUUUUUGCUUAAAGUCACAUCACUUAGCCUGUAAUUCUUCGUUGGUCCCAGCAUACCUGUGUCUGAAAAUGCUCAGAAAUCUGGAGAAAUUCAAGCAGGGAAUGUCCCAUGUGGCAGAGCACUACCUUGUUUAUUUGUCCCCAAGCUCACAGAUACACCCUCCUCUCUAGAGACACCCUCUUCUCUAAAAAUGCCAGAGGGUCCUGACUCCAGCCCACUUGGCUCAGUGAGGCAAGGUAAGAUCUCUCCCAGAAGAUGUGUAAGUCCUGGUUUCCAGAGAUCUCCAGGGACUCAAGUGGAGUCCGGGGAUACAGCGCUUAUACUUUGUGUGAAUGUGUGAGUGUGAACUGAGCUAAGAAACAAAAUGUAAGGUAACGUGGAACAUCCUAAUUGCAGAAUAAGCAGUACUGGCCGUGCUCAGCUUAAAAGGUGCUUCGUAAAUCCUUACUGGGAGGAACAAUAGAAACCUGAAGCUAAAGAUGAGGACUGAGGCCCAGCGAGGUCAGUGGCGAGAUCGGGAAUUAAAUGCUGUACUUUUGCUGUCCCCGGGCACACCCUUUCUUCCAUGUUCCAGUGUCCCAGCCACCUUCACAAAAGACCCACACAUCGCCUGGUGCUGGACACAUGACACUCUGUCUUUAUGGUUGGUGGCUGGAAGUAAUUUCUUCAUAAAAAGUAUCACUGAGUCUUCAGCUGAGCACUUAUUCUGUUGAUAAGAACAGCAAGGAUGGCGUUGCUCCUUGAGGCACGUGGCUACUACUGAUGAUGUCUAGCUGAUUGGAUGAGAGGCCAGCUCUCACAUCACGAACUCUUGGGUUGCGUCCCUGGUACUUGCAGCUGUCAACGUUUGGUAAGUGGAUCUCUUGAGCCUCUGGUUUCUUCAUUUUUUAAAAACGGCAACAACAACAACUAUUUAUCAAGUGUGAACGAUGUACGUACUCUGAGCCAGCGUUAUUCUAAGCACUUUACCAGCUCACUGAGUGCUCGUAACCGUCCAUUAUUGUUCUUGGCGUACACAGGAGAAAGCUGAGGCCCAGAAAGGUUAAGUCAUCUGCCCAAGCUCACACAGCUAUUAAGCGUCAGUCCUGGAGUUCCAUGGGCGGUCUGAUGGGAGCCUGUGCUUCAACCGUCACACGCAAAUGCUCUCACGAGGUUGUCAGAGGUUGUGUUAUGAGAUCAUAAAAAAUAACAUGCUUACUGGGCUGCCUGGCCCAGAGUAAGGGCUCAGUAGGUUACAGAAGUUAAUGAUUAGAAGUUAAUGUCUUUGGUUAGGCAAAAACACAGGAUUACUACAGCAGGCACAUGGUUGAUGGCGGCGGGGGUGGGAAGGGGAAGCUGCUGCCUGCUGUGGUACUAUUCCUGGACAGGUGUCCUCCCCACCUGUCCCCAGCUGGCAUUCUGCCUUGGAGUCUAGGCACAGGCAGGAACAGGGGCGCCGUGCCCGUGAAUCUCUGUGCUGAACUCUCUCGUGGGGAGCUCACAUGGAGAUCUACGUAGGGGCAGCCUCAGGACGGUGGGGAGGGGACCGGGUCUGCGAUUCACCUGGUGGGAAGAACCAUCAGAUUCCAGAACCAACAGUUCUAACCCCAAGGCAACAGACAUGUGCUUCUGAGAUUCUCCACAAACGGUUCAUCACACAGAUUUGGGGGGGGCGGGGAAGAUCCCUCAAACGGAAGAGGCAAAGUGAUCUCAAAAAACUGGUGCAAUUAGAGCCCUGGCGUGGCAACCUCUAUGGACAGCGGGGUGAUUGUCCGCUGCUCUCUCCAUCCUCGGGCAGACACGCUCCGUUCUGUUCGGGUCCUGGGCAGGCAGCAACACCCACGGAAAGGGCCAUCCUCUAAUCUCUGUCAGAGGCUGGCUUAGGAGGACAAACUGGCCCCAGCUGGCCAAUAAGACACAAGGGGAAGUAGACUAGGGAUUUCUGGGGAAUUCUUCUUCCUAACAGAAAACAGAUAGUUUGCCCUAAGAAGACCCCCCUCAUCCUGCCUGCCAUGCUUCCUGCUCUGGAUGCUGUCAUGACCAGGUGCCGACUGCAGCAGAAAAGGGCGGCUCAGAGAAGCGAACCCAGUACCCUGAUGAGCUGAGCUAUCAAAUGCCUCUUUUUGACACACCUGACCACACACCAGGUGCUGGGGCAGGCGGGAGCGGGAGUCAGGGGGAUGAGGGAAACAUGGGGAAACAGAAACCCCUGAGCACCAGCAGUGGAAGCACAAACAGGUAGUCAUUCUGGAAAACAAUCUGGCGGUGCUUGUGAAAUGAAAUGAGCAGCACAGUGACUCACCCCCACCCCACCCGCCCCCAGCCCUGGGUCCGUAUCAGAGAGAUUCUCCCACAGGCCAUGCGGGCACAGAACUUGGCUGGGCUUCUCCCUGAAGUGUGUCAGCAGGGAUGAAGGAAGUAAAUAAGGCAGGGCCUGCAGUCAGGGGAGGGUGGACACUGCCCCUCACAUGAGCUCAGCACGCACAGGCCAGCAGGAGUGGAGCUAAAAAAAGAAGACGGCUCUGAGUAAAAAGGAAAACAGAGGGAGACCUAUAACAGAAUCCUGUUUGUCAAAAUGAGAAACAGAUACCUGAUCAGAACAGAACACGGCAAACACACUGGCAGGAGUGGGAGUCUGAGAAUCUCCUAGAGAAGAGCUGCUCUAUCUAUAUAACUUCCCCAAUCACAGGAAAGACACGAUGCUGUAUGUGACUGCCACAUCUCAGACUGCCGUUGCUGCCCUUAAGGUGGUCCCCUCUUCUCCACCGUGAUCCCUCAGACUUCUGGGAAAGAUCUGGUGGCCCAGAAAUACCAUGUAUACCCCCCACCAGCACCAUUUUGUUUCCAGUUUUGCCCCUAAGUGUGUCUGGCUGUACAAAAUCCCUUCCUGCACACCACCGCCUUCUCUCCUCCUGGAACAUGUCUUUGAAAUACAUUCCCCAAAUUGGGACACAAGGUCGAAGUGAUGCUUUGAUAACUCCUGGCAACUGGUUUUCCCCAAAGAACAAUAUAAGCUGCCACAAACCACAGAAACGCAUGCAAGUUUCCCCCAAAAUUCUUAGAAUAAAUUUCAAAUCCUGUUAGUCUAACUCUUGGUGACUUACUUUUGAACUGUGGUGUUGGAGAAGACUCUUGAGAGUCCCUUGGACUGCAAGGAGAUCCAACCAGCCAAUCCUAAAGGAAAUCAGUCCUGAAUAUUCAUUAGAAGGACUGAUGCUGAAGCUGAAACUCCAAUACUUUGGCCACUUGGUGCGAAGAACUAACUCAUUUGAAAAGACCCUGAUGCUGGGCAAGAUUGAAGGCGGGAGGAGAAGGGGAUGACAGAGGAUGAGAUGGCUGGAUGGCAUCACCGACUCAAUGGACAUGAGUUUGAGUAAGCUCCAGGAGUUGGUGAUGGACAGGGAAGCCUGGCAUG